GAAAGCACCAUCUACCCUGGUCCAAACAUUAGGCUACAGGGUGUAUGAUGUGUUGACUCUCAUAGAAUCUACUGCUCAUAAUUGCACUCUGUCAUUAAUUUUUUUGUUUUGCCAGCCGUAAGCCUUUUCUGCACAAUUAUUUUUAUAAUUUUAGAGCCUAGAACAGUGAAUGACACUUAAGUUAGGUGGAUGUGAUGGUUAAUUUUAUGGGCCAUGGGGUGCCCAGAUACUUGGUCAGGCAUUAUUCUGGGUAUUUCUUUGUGGGUGUUUUUAGGUGUUAUUAACAUUUGAAUCAGUUACCUGCAUAAAACUGAUUGUCCUCCCUAAUGUUGGUGGGCCUUGUCCAAUCAGUUGAUAGCCUGAAUAGAAAAAAAGGUUGACUGACUCCUCCAAGUAGGAGACAGCUCUUCCUGCCUGACUGCCUUCAAACUGGGACACUAGCUUUUUCUUGCCUUCAGAUUUAAACUGAAACAUUGCCUCUUCCUGGGUCUUGAACAUGCCAGCCUUCAGCCUGUAACUACACCAUUGGCUCUUCUGGGUCUCCAGCUUGUCAACUCACCCUGUAGGUCUUAGGACUUGUCAGCCUCCAUAAUUGGGGACAUGAAGAGCAAGAAAUGGAAACAAGCGAGCCCCACAGAGAGUUCGGAUUAAUGUGCAGUAAUUGCAUCACUGAUAUCUGUGUCCAGUCACAGUUGGCAUUCAAGAUUCUGUUGACUUUUACUGUUGAAGGCUUCCUUUAAGGGAAGCAAACACAAAUAAAAAGGCUGCCUCUCCACUGUAGCAAAGCUAAGUAAGAUCACUGUCCAACCCAGGAUAUCCAAAUUCAUGGUCAAAAAUCCAAAAGGUAAUGUGGGCUCAUCCAGCGCUUCUGGAGCAGCAGGGAAGCUUUGCCACAGGAUCCAGCAUCUCAGGGCACAGUAUCUUGCAUGGCUGACUUGAUCUCACUUUCUUCCUCGGAGCAGCUGUGUGGCAAUUCAGAGGUGAAGAGGCAGAUAAUUGGACAGUGGAAUUGAGUCCUGUGUGAUACAGAGCUAAAAAAGAAAUUCCUUCAGUAUCAACAGCAGUGUGGAAAGAACCCAACAAACAAAACUCUGUAUGUACAGCAAAUGAAGCCAAAGGGUGGCUUGAGAACAGUGGAGUUCUGCUUGGAUGUGACGAGACCACCAGCCAGAAAGCUCAGAGGCAUUACUCAUGAUGCAAGGCUGCUGUCAAGUAAUGAUUUAACUUAAAAAUGCCAUCUAUUCUUUUCCCUACCUGCCUACUCAGUACAUUGCAAAUUAACAUGAAAAGUGACUUCAGCACAAAUUGUUUAAUUUGUUUUUGUCAGGCCCGAGGUGUUGUGGAAACAAGAGACCCAG
rnacentral:lncRNA from 10 species